UCUUUGCGAUACAAUUCUUAAAAUUUGGCGAACAGAUCGUUUUUUUUACACCAACAACAUCGAUCAACCUACCGGUUUCACUUCAAAUCAACUUGCCUAGAUUCAAAAAAUGUCAAUGGCACGCAUAAUUUGCAGUAAUGGCGACGGCACUAUCAAGUAAAUUCAACCGAAAGCCUUCCGCACUCCAGAUGAGUACGUAUUCAAGUUAGGCUACUAUGCUAUCAAGAAUCUAUUUUUUAAAUUUUUUUAUAAAUUACCUCGACUUUUAUUGGAAACUCCGUAUGGAUUGGAUAUACUUUCUCAGAUUACGCAACAAACGUGUUUCCUGCAACAACAUCCCUGGAAUUGACUUCGCCAAAAUGUUACCCCUCUAAAUUCAUUUUGAAAUUUGAUCUUUACUGUGUUCGGGUUUUCAAGUUUCAAGUUUUCAAAAUAUUACAAAAUAUAAAUUAAAAAAUUAUCCGAAAUUUCAAUGAGGGGUAGUUACUUUGUUCCAUAACGUAACAAAGAGAAAGAUGUUACCAGCUUUCCACAAGAUCCUAAAAAUGUUAUGGUCUUUGAAAAUUGAAAUAAAGAUAAAGCUUUGAUGCAAUUGAAA